UGUGAGCUCGAUGAGUAGGGCGGGACACGUGGUAUCCUGUCUGAAUAUGGGGGGACCAUCCUCCAAGGCUAAAUACUCCUGACUGACCGAUAGUGAACCAGUACCGUGAGGGAAAGGCGAAAAGAACCCCGGCGAGGGGAGUGAAAAAGAACCUGAAACCGUGUACGUACAAGCAGUGGGAGCCUCUUUUAUGGGGUGACUGCGUACCUUUUGUAUAAUGGGUCAGCGACUUAUAUUCUGUAGCAAGGUUAACCGAAUAGGGGAGCCGAAGGGAAACCGAGUCUUAACUGGGCGUUAAGUUGCAGGGUAUAGACCCGAAACCCGGUGAUCUAGCCAUGGGCAGGUUGAAGGUUGGGUAACACUAACUGGAGGACCGAACCGACUAAUGUUGAAAAAUUAGCGGAUGACUUGUGGCUGGGGGUGAAAGGCCAAUCAAACCGGGAGAUAGCUGGUUCUCCCCGAAAGCUAUUUAGGUAGCGCCUCGUGAAUUCAUCUCCGGGGGUAGAGCACUGUUUCGGCAAGGGGGUCAUCCCGACUUACCAACCCGAUGCAAACUGCGAAUACCGGAGAAUGUUAUCACGGGAGACACACGGCGGGUGCUAACGUCCGUCGUGAAGAGGGAAACAACCCAGACCGCCAGCUAAGGUCCCAAAGUCAUGGUUAAGUGGGAAACGAUGUGGGAAGGCCCAGACAGCCAGGAUGUUGGCUUAGAAGCAGCCAUCAUUUAAAGAAAGCGUAAUAGCUCACUGGUCGAGUCGGCCUGCGCGGAAGAUGUAACGGGGCUAAACCAUGCACCGAAGCUGCGGCAGCGACGCUUAUGCGUUGUUGGGUAGGGGAGCGUUCUGUAAGCCUGUGAAGGUGUGCUGUGAGGCAUGCUGGAGGUAUCAGAAGUGCGAAUGCUGACAUAAGUAACGAUAAAGCGGGUGAAAAGCCCGCUCGCCGGAAGACCAAGGGUUCCUGUCCAACGUUAAUCGGGGCAGGGUGAGUCGACCCCUAAGGCGAGGCCGAAAGGCGUAGUCGAUGGGAAACAGGUUAAUAUUCCUGUACUUGGUGUUACUGCGAAGGGGGGACGGAGAAGGCUAUGUUGGCCGGGCGACGGUUGUCCCGGUUUAAGCGUGUAGGCUGGUUUUCCAGGCAAAUCCGGAAAAUCAAGGCUGAGGCGUGAUGACGAGGCACUACGGUGCUGAAGCAACAAAUGCCCUGCUUCCAGGAAAAGCCUCUAAGCAUCAGGUAACAUCAAAUCGUACCCCAAACCGACACAGGUGGUCAGGUAGAGAAUACCAAGGCGCUUGAGAGAACUCGGGUGAAGGAACUAGGCAAAAUGGUGCCGUAACUUCGGGAGAAGGCACGCUGAUAUGUAGGUGAAGUCCCUUGCGGAUGGAGCUGAAAUCAGUCGAAGAUACCAGCUGGCUGCAACUGUUUAUUAAAAACACAGCACUGUGCAAACACGAAAGUGGACGUAUACGGUGUGACGCCUGCCCGGUGCCGGAAGGUUAAUUGAUGGGGUCAGCGCAAGCGAAGCUCUUGAUCGAAGCCCCGGUAAACGGCGGCCGUAACUAUAACGGUCCUAAGGUAGCGAAAUUCCUUGUCGGGUAAGUUCCGACCUGCACGAAUGGCGUAAUGAUGGCCAGGCUGUCUCCACCCGAGACUCAGUGAAAUUGAACUCGCUGUGAAGAUGCAGUGUACCCGCGGCAAGACGGAAAGACCCCGUGAACCUUUACUAUAGCUUGACACUGAACAUUGAGCCUUGAUGUGUAGGAUAGGUGGGAGGCUUAGAAGUGUGGACGCCAGUCUGCAUGGAGCCGACCUUGAAAUACCACCCUUUAAUGUUUGAUGUUCUAACGUUGACCCCUAAUCGGGGUUGCGGACAGUGUCUGGUGGGUAGUUUGACUGGGGCGGUCUCCUCCUAAAGAGUAACGGAGGAGCACGAAGGUUGGCUAAUCCUGGUCGGACAUCAGGAGGUUAGUGCAAUGGCAUAAGCCAGC
rnacentral:rRNA from 1 species